GGGCCAGACUGGAUUUGACAGCGGGUAGAUGGUAAGAGUAAGCAUGCAGUGCGGGUGUGGGCGGGCACUAUAAUCUCGGCUCUCGAAAAUUUAAUUGGCGAAAACAAGUACGCUCUCGCUGCUUAAUCGAAGUACAGUAGAUUAGCUUUAUUUCGACACAAGGUGUUGAAACGAGACAUCUCCCUGUUGCCCACUUCUUGAGGCGUUCAGGUUCGGAGGUGCAGGAAUAUCAGGAAUAGUCUGCGGUGGCCUCGCGCCAAGGAUGAAAUUCUUAGAGGAUAAGGUUAUAGUUGGUGGCUCUGGUCUUGCUAUAACUCGAAAACUUAGACAGAGAUAAGCAUGUAGAAAGCUUUUGGUGUCCCCGUUUGGACGAGGGUUCAAUCCCCUCCUGGUCCACAA
rnacentral:tmRNA from 1 species